rnacentral:rRNA from 1 species
UGCCAGCCGCCGCGGUAACACGGGGGGCGCAAGCGUUAUUCGGAAUUAUUGGGCGUAAAGCGCGUGUAGGCGGCUUGUUAAGUCGGCUGUGACAGCCCCGGGCUCAACCCGGGAAGUGCGGCCGAUACUGGCAAGCUUGAGUACGGGAGAGGGUAGCGGAAUUCCCGGUGUAGAGGUGAAAUUCGUAGAUAUCGGGCGGAACACCAGUGGCGAAGGCGGCUACCUGGACCGAUACUGACGCUGAGACGCGAAAGCGUGGGUAGCAAACAGGAUUAGAUA